rnacentral:rRNA from 1 species
CUACGUAGGGUGCGAGCGUUAAUCGGAAUUACUGGGCGUAAAGCGUGCGCAGGCGGUUAUAUAAGACAGUUGUGAAAUCCCCGGGCUCAACCUGGGAAUUGCAUCUGUGACUGUAUAGCUAGAGUACGGUAGAGGGGGAUGGAAUUCCGCGUGUAGCAGUGAAAUGCGGAGAUAUGCGGAGGAACACCGAUGGCGAAGGCAAUCCCCUGGACCUGUACUGACGCUCAUGCACGAAAGCGUGGGGAGCAAACAGGAUUAGGUACCCUGGUAGUCCACGCCCUAAACGAUGUCAACUGGUUGUUGGGUGCAUUAGUACUCAGUAACGAAGCUAACGCGUGAAGUUGACCGCCUGGGGAGUACGGCCGCAAGGUUGAAACUCAAAUGAAUUGACGGGG